ensembl:lncRNA
AGGAGGGGGGUCGAUUUCAAGUGUGAGGGGGUGGAGGGGGUUGGAAAGUAGUGGUGACCUUGCAGUCAAAGAGAGCCUGUGAGUGAGGGAGAUGGUGAAAACGAGUGAUAGGGAGGUAUACACGCACUGAGAUGGACAGCCUGAAAUAUAGGAGGGGAGCUGACUUCAGUGCCUGACACAACAACACCAAUACAUGAAACACAAGUAAAACGACAACAACAGUACACACUAUCCCAUUGACCAACACACAUGUGGUUCAGUCCGAUUCAGACUCAAAAGGCAUAAUGUUUUAUUUUUGUGUGUUUGUGUGUUAUAUAUAUUUUUGGGGUUCGUUUAUUUUUGUUUUGCGGUUGCCUUUUUAAAAAAAAACGAUUGCCCCGGUGGGGGUUAUCUGUGCGUUUGACCGUUUGUUUUUGUACUAUGGUAACAAUGCUAUUAGGGCAGAAUAGCAGCUCAGCUUUAGGGGUUGAUAGGGGAUGAGCCCACGUAAUGAGGUACUAAUUUUCAGGAGAACUCCGCAGGGAAUGAGACACCGCGGUCGGUUCGAAGUGGUUGCUUGUCAGCAGAUUAACGGUAGACCUUCUCAAAAAACCAGCUUUGAUUGUACUCUCUCUCUCUCUCUCUCUCUCUCUCUCUCUCUCUCUCUCUCUCUCUCUCUCUCUCUCUCUCUCUCUCUCUCUCUCUCUCUCUCUCUCUUAUAAUUAUAAUUACCAAUACUACUCUUUGUCACUGUUAUUACCAUGGUUUAUUCUGUAAACACCUUAAUCUGGGAAAUGAGGAACAACUUGUAAACUGGAUACCGUGUAUCUUGAGCUAGUCAAUCACCUUACAUGUAGUGUUAGGUUAGUAACUGUUUUUGUACCUUUCUGGAGGACAAAAAAAAAAAAGACACUCCAUUGUUAAAAAAUGUAUAAUUAUUAUUAUUGUUAUGAUGAUGAUGAUUAUGACUAUUAUUAUUAUUAGCAAGGCUUCUUGAUGUAAAUAGUGUUUGAUAUUAAAGUAUUAAUUUGGUUCUUAUGUAUUUUCUAAAAAACGAAAAACAACCCCCAACAACAAUGAUACGACAAAACAGUGUAAUCUCUGGAUUUUGCUGAGUGUAUGCUGGAUAACUGUCCUCAGCCAGUAUAUUGCGUGCUUCAGCGCUUCAUGUCCCAGUGAUGAACUAUCAAGAACGAUACUGCCCAAGAAGGAGGAACCUGGGGACUCUCUUUGAAGAACGGACAUUCUUCAAUGUGAUUUUAUAGCUGUUAACGUUCGGAGGCAUGUGGCUCAGCUCAAUCUUCUGCCAUAAGGAGACUUUUUUUAUGGAAGGAUCUUGGCAUUUUCACAAAGCGGCAUGUGCAUGAAUUUGAUGACAUGUAGAAAAAUAAUCUUCAAAAAGUAACAAAAACAAGUGUUUCCUUUUUCUUUCUUUUUUCCGGUGUACGAUUUUCUGACCACUUCAUGUUGUGUGUUUUUUUUGCAUCCCCAUUAGAGUGACGUCAUUAGGCUGUGUAGUGACAGGUGACAAAAAUGUACAUAACACAAAACCUUGUGUUCUGCAGUUAGGGUGGAGGUCCGCCAUGUGUAGUGAAAAACAUGUUGUUCAUAUCGCAGAUAGUUAUUAUUACUUUUGGUCCUCUUUAGUCCAAUCCAUCCCGUGUUGGUGUUAGGUUGAGUUUGACUGUACAUUCUGUGUUUUAAUCUGCUAGAGGUGUCUGAGUUUAUGUGCAUUAGCGUGAAUAAUUUCCUUUUUUUCCGGUGAGAAUGUAUACGUGAACAUGUGUGUGUGUGUGUGUGUGUGUGUGUGUGUGUGUGUGUGUGUGUGUGUGUGUGUGUGUCCGUCAGUGCAUGCAUGGGUGUGUAUCCCUGUGCGUGUCUGUGUGUCUGUGCAUGCAUGCACGUGUGUGUAUCUGCGUGAGUGCGUGUGUGUGUGUGUGUGUGUGUGUGUGUGUGUCUGCGUGAGGGCAUGCGUGUGAAUCUGCGUGUGUGUCUCGUUCCCCGUCGCCGCGGUGAAAGGGAAGCGUUCGACGCUCGUUGGCAACAGAGAGCGUUUCCCAUGCCUUAGCCUCUGCGCCUCUGCCAUGGCAGCCAGCUCCGUGUACAAGACACUUUCUGCCAUUGUCCCUUCUAGACAGAACAGAUGCCGGCGUCAAAGAGGCUACACAGAGAGGGCUCCUUCGCUUCGUCUCUAUUAUACACAAACCCUUAAUCAUUUAACCCCCACUCCCCCCUCCAGGUAGAUGUUGGUCCCUGGUGGGGUGGGGUGGGGUCUUGGGUGUUGGGGGGUGUGUUCUCGUAAGACAGCUCAGUGUCAUCGUGUUAGUGAGGAAAGAAAACCUGUGUUGUGGUCAUCCCUGAUUUGUCCUCGCCAGCCCCCCAGUCCGGUGUGGGCGAGGUGGGACGGAGGUGGGGGUCUCGUCUGGUUACCUGCUCUCCCUGUGUACCCGGGGGUCCUGUUUGUUGGGGUUGUGUCGCUUUGUACUCCUCAUCUCUCAUUCUUAUUGUGCCCACUUACCCCUCAAGAUCCCCCCCGCCCCACUGCUACAUCCCCCACCCACCCACCCACCCAACUCUCGCCUCAAACUCACCCUCACAGGGAAUCAUUUCUCACCCGCUGUUUUCCGCUAUAUAACAAGAUUGGAAGAGUUCAACAAGAAUUCUAAUGUUCUGUAUUUGUAUAUACACACGUGUCUGAGCAACUAUGAAUAAUAUUAAUAAAAUGGA